CAACGUAGCGUAGCCAAUCAGACACCGUCAAGGUGUACGUGCCGUUUCUCUCUCUCUCUAUGCCGGACCGUUGUCGAGGUGGCGGCAUGCAAACUUUCUCUUGAAGGAAAUUAUUGUUGCGAGAGCCAGAUAUAUCCCAACGUUUGAAUAAUUAUCGGAGGCGCAGAGAACAAAGUUUUUUUGUUGUUGCUUUGGUUGAUUAGUGGACCUUGUUUGUGACGGAAACGAAGGAGAACCGGAACCUGGACUGAUGAGAGCAGUGUAUUCUGCCUUGUACCGGAGUGUGUGUGUAUAUGUGAUGUUUGAGCCUCUGGCCGGGUCUUUUUGCUUGUAUGGAUUCCUGGUGAGAUCUGCAUGAAGAUUCUUCUCCCGCUGGGAUUUCUCCCAUCUCUGUAGAGGUAGUGGGGAACCUCAGUGGUAGUGGCGAGCUACCCAAACGAAGGACUGUUAUUUUGUUACCAAUAUUCAGAUUUUCCCAGUGGCUGGAUAUAUUGAGAAACUGGUUGAUAUCUCAUGUUUUUUAUUUAUUUAUUUAUUUUUAUUUUACUUCUUUAAAUCUACACAAUAUAGCUUUCUAAAACGUACUUGUUGAUUGUGUGAGUCCUUUACUCUGUCACUCAAUGCAUAUUGCCAAUACCCCUUUCUCCUAUAGCGAACUAGACUUCUGAUUUUCUGGCCCACAAGUGAAUUAAUGCACUGAUAAUUACAUCUGUAUCUCCCAGUCUUUACCA